rnacentral:rRNA from 1 species
GACGUAGGGCGCGAGCGUUGUCCGGAUUUAUUGGGUUUAAAGGGUGCGUAGGCGGCUAAUUAAGUCAGCGGUGAAAUUUCACAGCUCAACUGUGGAACUGCCAUUGAUACUGGUUGGCUUGAGUACAGAUGAGGUAGGCGGAAUUGACAGUGUAGCGGUGAAAUGCUUAGAUAUUGUCAAGAACACCUAUUGCGGAGGCAGCUUACUAGCUGUAACUGACGCUGAGACGCGAAAGCGUGGGUAGCAAACAGG